AACGAACGCUGGCGGCAUGCCUAACACAUGCAAGUCGAACGAUACCUUCGGGUCUUGUCUCGCACGGGUGCGUAACCCGUCGGAACCUUCACUUAGGUUCGGUCUACCUCCCAGAAUGGGGUACUCGUACCGAAUAAUGUCUUCUACCCAAUGCUUUAUCGCCUUUGGAUGGGCCCGCGUUGGAUUAGCUAGUUGGUAGGGUAAAAUCCUACCAAGGCGGCGAUCCAUGGCUGGUCGGAGAGGAUGACCAGCCACAAUGGGACUGAGACACGGCCCAGACUCGUACGGGAGGGAGCAGAGGGGAAUAUUGGGCAAGGGGCGAAAGCGUAGUAAAGCAAUGCCGGGGGAGAGAGGAAGGGGGUAGGGUUGUAAAGUUAGUUGACAAGAGAUGAAAAUGACAGUACCGGGAGAAUAAGCACCGGCUAACUACGUG
rnacentral:rRNA from 1 species